rnacentral:lncRNA from 1 species
CUGAUUAAAGAGAGAAAAUGAAAGCAUAUGAGAAUAAAACCCAAAAAACUAAAAAGAGAACGAUAACAUGAAAAAGAAGAAAGAAAUAAAGAGAGAGAGAUAUAGUAAAAAGAAAAAUUUGAAGAGAUAGAAAUGAUAGUCCAUCUUCUCGUUGGGGCCACACCCCCAAAUUAAAAAGAUGACUAUCUAUUUACUCGAUGGGCUCACACUCCAAAAUUAAAAUUAUGACCGUCCAUCUUUCCAAAAGAAAAUAGAGAGAGAAAAAAAUCUAGUCAAUUUUAAAAAAAUACUAUAAAAAUUAGUGGAAACCACACUUCAAAAAUUAAAGGUGCUGGGCCACAUCAACAUAAGGCCAUGAAAAUUUUUAAUUUUUUGUAGAAUAGAUAGUUUUAUAGAUAGAUAAUUGUUCAUCUUUCUAAAAGAAAAUGAAAGGAGAAAAAAGCAAUGAAAAAUCUAGUUAAUUUUAAAAAAAUACUUAUAAAAAUUAGUGGGACCUACCUCUGGAAAUUGGGUAUUGGGCACACCAGUGUAAGCCCAUGAAAUUUAAUAGCUUUUUAUAAAUUAUAGAUAUUUUCCCUUUAUUUAUUUAUUUAAUUAUUUUAUCUAUUUUAAAUCCUCUCUCGCUCCCUCCCUCUCCCAUUUCCCUCCACUAGUCCAGCCGCACCCCAAACCAAAACACGCGCAAGAACUCGCCGAACUCGUCAUCCACCCCACGACGUUCCUCCUGAUGGCUCCUGCAAUCAACCGCAUCAGCGCUCUCCCCGACGAACUCCUCGGCGAUAUCAAAUUAUAAUUCUUAUUCUUCUUGUUCCAAUCUAAUCAUCCAAACACUAUUUAUUUUAUUACUAGAAACAACCUAAUUUUCAUCCAAACGCAAAAUUAGUCUAGUUCCUACUUAUACAUAAAUUUAUACCUUUUCCUGAAAUAAGUAGUUUUUACUCAUACUCGAACCAAACGCAGCCUAAGAGUCACACAUUUUGUUAGAGUUACAUCCAUUCACUAACCAUUGCAUCGAUUCACUAAAAGUUACAUCAAUUCACUAAAACUCAAACAACAAAAUAUAUUAUUUUAAAAUUUUCCUUACACUUUAUCCUAUUUUUUUAUUUUGAUCCUCAAUCCUUUUUUCUAGUGUAAUUA